AUUGUGUUUCAAGCAAUGCGUGGGCUCUCCUCAUCAUGUGACACUGCCCUGGAUAAUAUUGUCAUCACUGAGGGAGCAUGUGCUGGCUGUAUAGCUGGGUGUGAUUUUGAUGAUAAGGAUGAAUGUGGCUGGAGGAAUGUGGUACCUAAUGAUGAAAUUACUGGUUGGGAAUUUUGGACUGGACAGACAGAUACACCAGGCACUGGCCCUGAUGAUGACUUCUCCAAACCAGGAUGUAAGUCCAAUAUUCCACCCUGUCAUAUCAAUGAUUUUAAGGACUGCUUUCUGUCCUCUUUGCAUUCUCUAUUUUCUCAAACUGUUUCUUUCCAAUGCAGUGGGGUCAUACCUGUUAAUGGACUCCAGCUAUAGUAUUGAAGGAAAAUCCGCUCAGCUCUGGAGUCCCUCUACCUCAGCCUCUGGUUGCCUACAGCUGGACUUCCAUUACUACAUGUAUGGCAGCGCCACCAACAUGGAGCUAAAUGUCCAUGCAAUCACCACCGGUGGAGGACUUGGAGCCCCUAUUUUCAGCCUCAAAGGAAAUCAAGGUCAGGCCUGGAAGCCUACAACCAUUCACUACAUUGGUUCAGCCGAUUCAGUGGAGGUCAGUUUUAUUCUCUCAGUUAAAAUUUUGUGAAUGAGCUUUAUACAUUUUUGACAAAAUGAUCUGGCCCAUUUGAGUGACAAAGCAAUUUAUAUUCAUCAUGUAUGUUGCCAAAUGUUCACGUUUUUAUACGUUUUUAUUCAGUUUGUAAUUGUAGGUGUUUAUGGUGAAACAGACAAGACAGAUAUUGCAAUUGAUAGUGUCUGCAUUACCACUUGUACAGCAACUCCAUCAACACCUAAGCCAUCCCCACCCCAACCCACUACACCUAAACCAUCAACACCACAACCCACUUCACCUAAACCAACGACACCAGGUCCAUCAUCCCCUAAUCCAUCAACACCACAACCUACUUCACCUAAACCAACAACACCAGGUCCAGCAUCACCUAAUCCAUCUACACCACAACCCACUUCACCCAAACCAACAACACCAGGUCCAUCAUCACCUAAUCCAUCUACAUCCCUACCUACUUCACCUAAACCAACGACACCAGGUCCUUCAUCACCUAAUCCAUCUACACCCCAACCUCCUUCACCUAAACCAACGACACCAGGUCCAUCCUCACCUAAUCCAUCUACACCCCAACCUACUUCACCUAGACCAACGACGCCAGGUCCAUCAUCCCCUAAUACGUCUACACCCCAACCUACUUCACCUAAACCAACUACACCAGGUCCAUCAUCACCUAAUCCAUCUACACACCAACCUACUUCACCUAAACCACCGACACCAGGUCCAUCAUUACCUAAUCCAUCUACAGCCCAACCUACUUCACCCUAACCAACGACACCAGGUCCAUCAUCACCUAAUCCAUCAACACCACAACCUACUUCACCUAAACCAACAACACCAGCUCCAUCAUCACCUAAUCCAUCUACACCACAACCUACUACACCUAAACCAACAACACCAGGUCCACCAUCACCUAAUCCAUCUACACCACAACCCACUUCACCCAAACCAACAACACCAGGUCCAUCAUCCCCUAAUCCAUCUACAGCCCAGCCCACUUCACCCAAACCAACGACACCAGGUCCAUCCUCACCUAAUCCAUCUACACCACAACCUACUUCAUCUGAACCAACGACACCAGGUCCAUCAUCACCUAAUCCAACUACACCACAACCCACUACACCCAAACCAACGACACCAGGUCCAUCAACACCUAAUCCAUCUACACCCCAACCUACUUCACCUCAACCACCGACACCAGGACCAUCAUCACCUAAUCCAUCUACAUCCCAACCUACUUCACCCAAACCAACGACACCAGGACCAUCAUCACCUAAUCCAUCUCCACCCCAACCUACUUCACCUAAACCAACGACGCCAGGUCCUUCAUCACCUAAUCCAUCUACACCCCAACCUACUUCACCUAAACCGACGACACCAGGUCCAUCAUCACCUAAUCCAUCUACACCACAACCUACUUCACCCAAACCAACGACACCAGGUCCAUCUUCACCUAAUCCAUCUACACCACAACCUACUUCAACUAAACCAACGACACCAGGUCCAUCAUCACCUAAUCCAUCUACACCACAACCCACUACACCCAAACCAACAACACCAGGUCCAUCAACUCCUAAACCAACAACACCUAAGCCAACUACUCCAGGACCAACACCACCAGUGAACUGCCCUCCAGACUCUGAGUACAUUGAUUGCGGCCCAGCCUGUAUUCCUACCUGUGCAGAACCCUCUACUAACUGCUCUGGUUCUUGCAUCAGCGGCUGCUUCUGUAAACCAGGAUUUGUUUUCCGUGGCCGGCGCUGUGUCCCUAUUGAGCAGUGUGGAUGUCUGGAUGAAGAAAAUAAUUACUUUGAGGUACUGUACAAGAGUUGUCAUUGUAGGGCUGCAUUUUUAUUCAGCUUUGGGACCUAAAGUUUUGCAGUAAAAAAUAUUGGUUUGUAUUUUCACUCAGCCUGGUGAGAUCAUAUUUGGAGAUGGUUGUUCCAAGUUGUGUCGCUGUGGUGGCAACUAUACCUUUGACUGUGUAGACAACACCUGUGACCCUGUGACAGAAGAAUGUCGGGAUGUUGGUGAAGUGCAUGGCUGCUACCCUAAAGGUAUUUCAGAAAACCACAGCAACCCCUUAUUCACAACUACCAUAACUGACAAGUGACAAACAAUACACUAAUUUGCUUCUGUGGUAGCUCAUGUUUCAAAGAAGCUACAAACACACAGAUACAAUUUAUGAUCAAGUUUGUAUUCAUGUCUUUGACACCAAGGGAUUUUUCAUUCACAGGAACCUCCACCUGUAUUGCCUCUGGUGACCCCCAUUAUAACACCUUUGAUAACCGGCGCUAUGACUUCAUGGGAAACUGUUCUUACCUGAUGUCCGAACCUUGUAACAGCACAGAUGUGCCUUACUUCGCUGUGUACACAGACAAUGAGAAUCGUUACAACAAUCCUCAUAUCAGCUACGUAAAAGCAGUUCAUGUCCAUGCGCUG
ensembl:lncRNA